rnacentral:snoRNA from 1 species
GCACCUCUGUAAAACCCCGCCGAUUGGUUCCGUUUGGUGUGGGUCAUACUGGUGCCAGAGAGACUCGAAGUGAAUCCAGAUGGUCCUCUUUAUCAAAUGGAGCCUGUCUCUACAGCUUUGAUACAGUA